AGUGAACGCUGGCGGUAGGCCUAACACAUGCAAGUCGAACGGCAGCACAGUAAGAGCUUGCUCUUACGGGUGGCGAGUGGCGGACGGGUGAGGAAUACAUCGGAAUCUACUUUUUCGUGGGGGAUAACGUAGGGAAACUUACGCUAAUACCGCAUACGACCUACGGGUGAAAGCAGGGGAUCUUCGGACCUUGCGCGAUUGAAUGAGCCGAUGUCGGAUUAGCUAGUUGGCGGGGUAAAGGCCCACCAAGGCGACGAUCCGUAGCUGGUCUGAGAGGAUGAUCAGCCACACUGGAACUGGGACACGGUCCAGACUCCUACGGGAGGCAGCAGUGGGGAAUAUUGGACAAUGGGCGCAAGCCUGAUCCAGCCAUACCGCGUGGGUGAAGAAGGCCUUCAGGUUGUAAAGCCCUUUUGUUGGGAAAGAAAAGCAGCAGGUUAAUACCCCGCUGUUCUGACGGUACCCAAAGAAUAAGCACCGGCUAACUUCGUG
rnacentral:rRNA from 1 species